AUGUGUCACACCCUGCACCUGCCACUCCCACACCUGCCAUACCCUGUACAGCCACAUAGCCCACCUGCCACACCCUGCACCUGCCACACCCUGUACUGCCACACCCUGUACUGCCACACAGCCCACCUGCCACACCCUGCACCUGCUACUCCCACACCUGCCACACCCUGCACCUGCCACACCCUGUACUGCCACACCCUGUACUGCCACACAGCCCACCUGCCACACCCCUCACCUGCCACUCCCACACCUGCCACUCCCCUCACUUGCCACACACCCCACCUGCCACACCCUGCACCAGCCACACCCUGUAGCUGUCACUCCCACACCUGCCAUACCCUGUACUGCCACACAGCCCACCUGCCACACCCCUCACCUGCCACACCCUGUAGCUGCCACUCCCUGCACCUGCCACUCCCCUCACCUGCCACGUCCCUCACCUGCCACUCCCACACCUGCCACACCCCUCAUAUGUCACUCCCCUCACCUGCCACUCCCACACCUGCACAGCCUGCACACCCCUGUUGCUGCCUGCAGUCACAGCUCCACAGUGCAUCCCAGCACCUGGCAGGACAGCAAGGCGGCAGGAGCCUCCACGUCACAGGUCCUGCAGGAUGUGGCAGAGCCAUGUGUGACAAAGGAUCUCACAGGUGGGGAUGUCCUCUCCUGUCCUUCAGAGGAAAUUGGUCUUUGGUUUGCCGUGACAAACAACAGAACCCUAGAUCAGCCCAGUACCUUCCUCACUGCCCCCUCCCCACUCAGCAGCUGUCAGUCAGGUGCACCCUGGGCCUAGACCUCCGCGUGUCUGCCAUCGCCUCGGCCCCUCCUGGCACACGACCACAACUUCCUCAGAGGCCCAGGGUGAGCAGCAGACCAGGGAAGCAGGAGCAGCAGGCCCUGGACGCUGGUGGAUGGGACGAGAGCAUCAGGAGGGCGACGCUCCUUGGGGGGACGAGGGGCGCAGCCAUGGGGAAGACACGCCUGGCCUCGUCACGAGACGUGUCCAGGCUGGCGGCACCUGUGCAGACCAACAGGAGCAGGAUCUGA
rnacentral:lncRNA from 1 species